GACGAACGCUGGCGGUGUGCCUCAUACAUGCAAGUCGAACGAGAAGCUUUCUUCGGAAAGCGGAAAGUGGCGGACGGGUGAGUACAGCAUAGGAAAUCUGCCUUUAGGUGGGGGACAACAGAGGGAAACGGCUGCUAAUACCGCAUAAUGCAUCAAUUUCGCAUGUUAUUGAUGCCAAAGGAGCAAUCCGCCUUUAGAUGAGCUCGCGUCUGAUUAGCUAGUUGGCGGGGUAACGGCCCACCAAGGCGACGAUCAGUAGCCGGACUGAGAGGUUGAACGGCCACAUUGGGACUGAGACACGGCCCAG
rnacentral:rRNA from 1 species